rnacentral:ribozyme from 1 species
GGGGAAAACCAGUACAAAUGAUUUAGUCGUCAUUGUACAAUCUUUGGUUUUUAUUUCUUUCUUUGGCGUCAUUCUUCCUCUUUUAAUAGCGUAUUUCUAAUAACCUUCGGAAGGCACCCAAGAAAGCCAACUAUUUACAAAUAGAAG